rnacentral:rRNA from 1 species
CGUCGACCGGCGCACGGGUGAGUAACGCGUAUCCAACCUUCCCAUUACUGUGGGAUAACCUGCCGAAAGGCAGACUAAUACCGCAUAGUCUUCGAUGACGGCAUCAGAUUUGAAGUAAAGAUUUAUCGGUAAUGGAUGGGGAUGCGUCUGAUUAGCUUGUUGGCGGGGUAACGGCCCACCAAGGCGACGAUCAGUAGGGGUUCUGAGAGGAAGGUCCCCCACAUUGGAACUGAGACACGGUCCAAACUCCUACGGGAGGCAGCAGUC